rnacentral:piRNA from 1 species
UGGUCCUAGUUCUGAAGUAUAUAAGCGG